CGUAGGGGGCAAGCGUUGUCCGGAAUUACUGGGCGUAAAGGGCGUGUAGGUGGGUAAUUAAGUCAUGGGUGAAAACUGCGAGCUCAACUUGCAGACUGCCUAUGAAACUGGUCAUCUUGAGGGCAGGAGAGGAAAGUGGAAUUCCUAGUGUAGCGGUGAAAUGCGUAGAUAUUAGGAGGAACACCAGUGGCGAAGGCGACUUUCUGGACUGUCCCUGACACUGAGGCGCGAAAGCUAGGGGAGCGAACGGGAUUAGAUACCCCGGUAGUCCUAGCCGUAAACGAUGGGUACUAGGUGUGGGAGGUAUCGACCCCUUCCGUGCCGGAGUUAGCACAUUAAGUACCCCGCCUGGGGAGUACGGCCGCAAGGUUG
rnacentral:rRNA from 1 species